AGAACUGCACAUCAAGCUUUCAUGCAAGUUAGUUUCAGUUUUAUGUUUGCAUUCCUAUUCAGUGGCUCAGUGAGGCAUACUGCAUGUGAAGUGAAAUCUGUCAUCUUGUUAUGAACUGAUAAACAUGAACAAAGUCUCAAACCUUCAGUAGGAUGAUGUCAACAACAGCAGUCGGGAAACAAUGCCGAGCAUCAGUCCCAUAAAGAGCGUAAUGAUUGCAAAAAUCACAUAAGAGCCCCAGGAAGGGAUACCGAGCGUAUUCGUCAGGAGAGAGGAUGGAGACUUCCAUCCUGGCACCGGCUCAACCGUCGCCCACUUCUUCUGCUCAACAUACGCCUGGAUAUCCUCAAUAGUCCGUGAUGAAACAUAUUUGCGGAAAUUUCCAUCUUUAGCACUGUGGAUGAGAUGGGUUGUACAAUAUUAUACUUUAAAUUGGUACAUGCUAUUUUUAAUCUAAAAAUGGAAUCUAAAAGAGCGUUUUGAAAGCCAGUUUUGCCAUAACGCCAGAGGGAAUAUAAAUUCAGCCAUCUGAGGACUUACUGAAAUAUAGUCGGCAGUGUUGUAACCAGAAACCUCCCACUCAGACCUGCAGAACAAAAGAAGAGAGGACGGAUAUAUUGAUGCAGAAAUGCAGAUAGGAGAGCAAGCACAUCCUAUACCGGCCUAAGAAAUCCCUUCGGCAUGGGAAGGCGGUGAGUGCUCUAUAGCAGCGCUGUAAUAAGAGUAAAGCAUGACAGAUUUCUGACAGUAAGAGGCGUUUUCUCCCCGCCAACUGAGAUUUCCACAGAAACACACGAAAACGACACCAUUCAAGCAACACACUCCACAUCCACCCGCAUCAUUAGCCGAUUAAAUGCAUUUAAAAUGCAAUUAGCGUUCAAAGGGAGUCGUCUAAAUGAGUCUGGAUAUAAUGGUACAGUAUUAAUAAUAAAGGCUUUCAUCUGCUUGUGAUGUCACUCGAUGGCACACAUCAAAUAUAGCUGAUAAUAACUGCAGGAGGAAUUGAAAUGAGUGACGUGUUAAAAUCUAAUUCCUUUUAAAGCCCCACAGGAGUUCAUUCCAGCCACAUGACUAAACUUAAAGACUUCUGUGUGCAAACAAUCCAGCAGUGUUUGAUAUAAAUGCCAGACACACUGCUGUUGAUCAGACCGGACGCAAACAAGGCGCUCAUGUUGAUGAGAGUAUCAUACGCACAGAAUGAUUUGCUUUGAAUGUGCCACAUCCUGUUUUAUAAUAUUAGCGUCACUGCUGAAGUCUUUUGUUUUAACUCAGCUGUUGCAUAAUGUGAAGAUGUUGUUGCACUGCAUUUCAUUAACUUGCUU